CGACAGCAAUAUGAAGGUCAGGCUGAAGACCUUACCCGAUUAGCUGAGAGGUGGUGCAUGGCCGUCGUCAGUUCGUACUGUGAAGCAUCCUGUUAAGUCAGGCAACGAGCGAGACCCACGUCCACAGUUGCCAGCAUACCCUCCGGGGUGAUGGGUACACUGUGGAGACCGCCGCUGCUAAAGCGGAGGAAGGAGUGGGCAACGGUAGGUCAGUAUGCCCCGAAUCUCCCGGGCUACACGCGGGCUACAAUGGUUGGUACAAUGGGCAUCUACCCCGAAAGGGGAAGGAAAUCUCUUAAAGCCAAUCGUAGUUCGGAUUGAGGGCUGCAAUCGCCCUCAUGAAGCUGGAAUCCGUAGUAAUCGCGUUUCAACAGAACGCGGUGAAUACGUCCCUGCUCCUU
rnacentral:rRNA from 1 species